GGUGAACGCUGGCGGCGUGUUUAAGACAUGCAAGUCGAACGGCAGUCUUCGGACUGUAGUGGCGCACGGGUGAGUAACGCGUAACUGACCUACCCCAAAGUCGCGGAUAACGAUUCGAAAGAAUCGCUAAUACGUGAUGUGCUGUCAGAUUGUGUUCUGCCAGUAAAGAUUGAUUGCUUUGGGAUGGGGUUGCGUUCCAUCAGCUAGUUGGUGGGGUAAGGGCCCACCAAGGCGACGACGGAUAGCCGGCCUGAGAGGGUGGCCGGCCACAGGGGCACUGAGACACGGGUCCCACUCCUACGGGAGGCAGCAGUUAGGAAUCUUCCACAAUGGGCGAAAGCCUGAUGGAGCGACGCCGCGUGAGGGAUGAAGGUCUUCGGAUCGUAAACCUCUGAAUCAGGGACGAAAGACACUUCGGUGGGAUGACGGUACCUGAGUAAUAGCACCGGCUAACUCCGUGCCAGCAGCCGCAGUAAUAC
rnacentral:rRNA from 1 species